rnacentral:misc_RNA from 1 species
UACGCCUCCGUGGCCCUGCGG